rnacentral:rRNA from 1 species
UACAGAGGUCCCAAGCGUUGUUCGGAUUCAUUGGGCGUAAAGGGUGCGUAGGUGGCGCCAUAAGUCAGGUGUGAAAUUUCGGAGCUUAACUCCGAAACUGCAUUUGAUACUGUGGUGCUUGAGGACUGGAGAGGAGACUGGAAUUUACGGUGUAGCAGUGAAAUGCGUAGAGAUCGUAAGGAAGACCAGUGGCGAAGGCGGGUCGUCUGGACAGUUCCUGACGCUGAGGCGCGAAGGCCAGGGGAGCAAACGGG